GAGACCUCAUCCUCUAACUUCUACCAACGUCCUAACACAGUAACGUUCCCAUAGGCGCCAAAAUGCCCGAGAAAGGCGAACCGUCGUCGAUCGACACCAAAAGCGGCUUCUGCUCAAAAACUAGCAUCUUCCACAGCCUCAGACCCCGAGCUCCACUUCCUCUACUUUCCUCUCCCAUUUCCGUCGCAGAUUUCGCCUUCUCUCUCCUUCACUCCUUCCCUCCACCUCCAACUUCCACCGCUCUCGUCGACGCCGUCACUCGCCGCCGCAUUUCUUUCCCCGAAUUCUUCCUUCGUACGAAAAACUUAUCCUUCUCUCUUCACCACCAUCUUCGCCUCAGAAAAGGAGAUACUGCCUUCGUUCUUUCUCCUAAUUCUGUCCAUAUUCCGAU
rnacentral:misc_RNA from 1 species